UACGGAAGGCAGCAGUGGGGAAUAUUGCACAAUGGGCGCAAGCCUGAUGCAGCCAUGCCGCGUGUAUGAAGAAGGCCUUCGGGUUGUAAAGUACUUUCAGUCGUGAGGAAGGUGUUAAGGUUAAUAACCUUAGCAAUUGACGUUAGCGACAGAAGAAGUACCGGCUAACUCCGUGCCAGCAGCCGCGGUAAUACGGAGGGUGCGAGCGUUAAUCGGAAUUACUGGGCGUAAAGGGCACGCAGGCGGUUAAUUAAGUUGGAUGUGAAAUCCCCGGGGCUUAACCUGGGAAUGGCAUUCAAGACUGGUUAGCUAGAGUCUUGUAGAGGGGGUAGAAUUCCAUGUGUAGCGGUGAAAUGCGUAGAGAUGUGGAGGAAUACCGGUGGCGAAGGCGGCCCCUGGACAAAGACUGACGCUCAUGUGCGAAAGACGUGGGGAGGCAAACAGGGAUUAGAUACC
rnacentral:rRNA from 1 species